ACGGGCUUCGGUCUGGUGGCGAGUGGCGAACGGGUGAGUAAAGUAUCGGAACGUACCUUUCAGUGGGGGAUAACGUAGCGAAAGUUACGCUAAUACCGCAUAUUCUGUGAGCAGGAAAGCAGGGGAUCGCAAGACCUUGCGCUGAUUGAGCGGCCGAUAUCAGAUUAGCUAGUUGGUGGGGUAAAGGCCUACCAAGGCGACGAUCUGUAGCGGGUCUGAGAGGAUGAUCCGCCACACUGGAACUGAGACACGGUCCAGACUCCUACGGGAGGCAGCAGUGGGGAAUUUUGGACAAUGGGGGCAACCCUGAUCCAGCCAUGCCGCGUGAGUGAAGAAGGCCUUCGGGUUGUAAAGCUCUUUCGGCCGGGAAGAAAUCGCAUGGGCUAAUACCCCGUGUGGAUGACGGUACCGGUAUAAGAAGCACCGGCUAACUACGUGCCAGCAGCCGCGGUAAUACGUAGGGUGCGAGCGUUAAUCGGAAUUACUGGGCGUAAAGCGUGCGCAGGCGGUUUAGUAAGACAGGCGUGAAAUCCCCGGGCUCAACCUGGGAACUGCGCUUGUGACUGCUAAGCUAGAGUAC
rnacentral:rRNA from 1 species